rnacentral:misc_RNA from 1 species
GAAAUGCGAUAAGUAGUGUGAAUUGCAGAAUUCAGUGAAUCAUCGAAUCUUUGAACGCACAUUGCGCCCCUUGGUAUUCCAUGGGGCAUACCUGUUCGAGCGUCAUUUGUACCUUCAAGCUCUGCUUGGUGUUGGGUGUUUGUCUCGCCUCUGCGCGCAGACUCGCCUCAAAACAAUUGGCAGCCGGCGUAUUGAUUUCGGAGCGCAGUACAUCUCGCGCUUUGCACUCAGAACGACGACGUCCAAAAGUACAUUUUUUACACUCUUGACCUCGGAUCAGGUAGGGAUACCCGCUGAACUUAAGC